rnacentral:rRNA from 1 species
UACGUAGGGGGCAAGCGUUGUCCGGAUUUAUUGGGCGUAAAGAGCGUGUAGGCGGCUUCACAGGUCCGCUGUGAAAACUCGAGGCUCAACCUCGAGCUGUCGGUGGAAACCGUGUGGCUAGAGUCCGGGAGAGGAGAGUGGAAUUCCCGGUGUAGCGGUGAAAUGCGCAGAUAUCGGGAGGAACACCAAUAGCGAAGGCAGCUCGCUGGGACGUUACUGACACUGAGGCGCGAAAGCGUGGGGAGCGAACAGG